rnacentral:rRNA from 1 species
AUUGAACGCUGGCGGCAUGCCUUACACAUGCAAGUCGAACGGUAACGGGCCUUCGGGUGCCGACGAGUGGCGAACGGGUGAGUAAUGUAUCGGAACGUACCUUUCAGUGGGGGAUAACGUAGCGAAAGUUACGCUAAUACCGCAUAUUCUGUGAGCAGGAAAGCAGGGGAUCGCAAGACCUUGCGCUGAUUGAGCGGCCGAUAUCAGAUUAGCUAGUUGGUGAGGUAAAGGCUCACCAAGGCGACGAUCUGUAGCGGGGCUGAGAGGAUUAUCCGCCACACUGGAACUGAUACACGGUCCAGACUCCUACGGGAGGCAGCAGUGGGGAAUUUUGGACAAUGGGGGCAACCCUGAUCCAGCCAUGCCGCGUGAGUGAAGAAGGCCUUCGGGUUGUAAAGCUCUUUCGGCCGGGAAGAAAUCGUAUGGGUUAAUACCCUGUGCGGAUGACGGUACCGGCAUAAGAAGCACCGGCUAACUACGUGCCAGCCGCCGCCGUAAUAC